AACCUUCGCAAUGUGCGAAAGCACGACGAGGUUAUUCCGAGUGAUUUCCGCUGAGGAAAUCUUUUCUCAGAUCUAAAAAGUCUGGGGAAUAAGGGGAGGGCAAGUCUGGUGUCAGCCGCCGCGGUAAUACCAGCUCCUCGAGUGGUCAGGGCGUUUAUUGGGCCUAAAGCAUCCGUAGCCGGCUUAGUAGGUCUUCUGUUAAAUCCAACGGCUCAACCGUUGGUCUGCAGGAGAUACCGCUGGGCUAGGAGGCGGGAGAGGCGGACGGUACUCCGAGGGUAGGGGUAAAAUCCUUUGAUCCCCGGAAGACCACCAGUGGCGAAGGCGGUCCGCCAGAACGCGCUCGACGGUGAGGGAUGAAAGCUGGGGGAGCGAACCGGAUUAGAUACCCGGGUAGUCCCAGCCGUAAACGAUGCGAGCUAGGUGACACUACGCCUUCGGGGCGUAGUGGUGCCGCAGGGAAGCCGUUAAGCUCGCCGCCUGGGGAGUACGGACGCAAGUCUGAAACUUAA
rnacentral:rRNA from 1 species